rnacentral:rRNA from 1 species
AUCUACCUAGUAGUAUGGGAUAGCCACUGGAAAUGGUGGGUAAUACCGUAUAAUCCCCGCGGGGGAAAGAUUUAUCGCUAUUAGAUGAGCCUAUGUCGGAUUAGCUAGUUGGUGGGGUAAUGGCCUACCAAGGCAGUGAUCUGUAGCUGGUCUGAGAGGAUGAUCAGCCACACUGGAACUGAGACACGGUCCAGACUCCUACGGGAGGCAGCAGUGGGGAAUAUUGGACAAUGGGCGCAAGCCUGAUCCAGCUAUGCCGCGUGAGUGAGGAAGGCCUUAGGGUUGUAAAACUCUUUCAGUAGGGAAGAUAAUGACGGUACCUA